AUUUUUGCAAAGAUUGAUUUGCAGUAGUUUUUAUACUCCCUGUUUGAGAGAGUUGGCGGUCGCUGUGAGCUAACCAUAGUAUAAAAAUGAAUUACGUAUCAGGAGCAAAAUCGUGCCACGCCGCGUUAUGGUGAAUGAAGUGGAAGAGCAAUCUUCAAGCUGGGUGGUACCGCGUUUAUACAUAAACGUCCCUGCA
rnacentral:ncRNA from 1 species